rnacentral:rRNA from 1 species
GACGAACGCUGGCGGCGUGCUUAACACAUGCAAGUCGAACGGAAAGGCCCUGCUUUUGUGGGGUGCUCGAGUGGCGAACGGGUGAGUAACACGUGAGUAACCUGCCCUUGACUUUGGGAUAACUUCAGGAAACUGGGGCUAAUACCGGAUAGGAGCUCCUGCUGCAUGGUGGGGGUUGGAAAGUUUCGGCGGUUGGGGAUGGACUCGCGGCUUAUCAGCUUGUUGGUGGGGUAGUGGCUUACCAAGGCUUUGACGGGUAGCCGGCCUGAGAGGGUGACCGGCCACAUUAGGACUGAGAUACGGACCAGUCUCCUACGGGAGGCAGCAGUGGGGAAUAUUGCACAAUGGGCGGAAGCCUGAGGCAGCAACGCCGCGUGCGGGAUGACGGCCUUCGGGUUGUAAACCGCUUUCGCCUGUGACGAAGCGUGAGUGACGGUAAUGGGUAAAGAAGCACCGGCUAACUACGUG